rnacentral:rRNA from 1 species
GACGAACGCUGGCGGCGUGCUUAACACAUGCAAGUCGAACGGAAAGGCGCUGAUUUCAGGGUACUCGAGUGGGGAACGGGUGAGUAAGACGUGGGUGAUUUGCCCUGCAAUUCGGGAUAGGCCAGGGAGAGAGGGCGGAGCAACGGAUAGGAGCUAUAUUUAGUGGGAUGGUUGGAAAGUGUUUUCGGGUUAGGAUGAGCUCGCGGGCUAGCAGCUUGCUGGUGGGGUAAUGGCGUACCGAGGCGGCGAAGGGUAGCCGGCCUGAGGGGGUGGACGGCCACCCUGGGUCUGACGUACGGCCGCAACUGCUACGGUUCGCAGCAGUGCGGAAUCUUGCACAAUCAGCGCCAGCCUGAUGCAGAGACGCCGCGUGUGGUAUGACGCCCUUCGUGUUGUAAACUCCUUUCGCUAGGAACGAAGCUUUUCUUGACGGUACCUAGAUAAAAAGCCCCGGCUAACUACGUG